UAAGGCAAGCGUGUGCCUCCAGAUGCGAGCAGAGCCUCACAAACUCAACUGCUUGCUAGAUUAAGAAGCUUAAAAAUUAACACCUUGCACUCACGGCCACACUUCAUACAAAUGCUGCUGGAUUUUUGGGGCUGUGCAGACACUCAGAGCUUUGUUCUCAAGUGGGUUUUGUUGCAGUGCCUGUCUCUGUGCUACAGCUGAGCCCCUGCUGACCCUCUGCAGGAAACAGCCAAACUUCUGCUGACUGCACCUGGGAAAGAUGAGCCCUUCGCCUUGCAGGAGGAAUGAAACACAGAUGGGCAGCAUCAAACCAAAUUUUCUACUCAUUUUGAACUUGGAAGAGCCCUUUGCUUCUCUUUUUAAGGGAGCAGGAAGGCUGAAGUUCUGGGUAUGACUGUAGGAGGUAUUCUGUAGGUUUGUGCUGGAUGUUGAAGGUUAUCAGCAUGAAAUUCUUCCUUCCUCAACUAAACCACCAGUGUUAGGUGCCUAGUGUAGGAAUUUUAGUAUUGGAUAAAUCAUUGUCUACUGGUUAUCUGAUUUUCCUUGCUGCCUAAGAAAGAACCAACAGGAGAUGGAGAAAUUUACUAUUCCUUCUGUCUUUUAGCUACAUGCUAAUGAAAAAAGAAAUCUUGAAUGUUCAACUUUUGAGUGGAAAAAUGUCUCUGCCUGGCUGAUGUUAGUGACACAACAACCCUGGGAUGUUGUGAGGCUGUGGCACAGGUACACUCCAACUUGGUGAUUGGAAUGCAACUGCUCUGUACAAACAUUGUGACAGCGUGAAAAAGACUUGCAGCUUUACACCACAAACACUGCAGCUUCCAUAGCUCCUUCAGCUGUCUGGGCAGUGCCAAAGACUCUUGGAAAACCAAGCAAAGCCAUCAAAAGGCAGCCCUGGCACUGGAAAGCAUUUCUGUGCAGGUUGGUAAGGACAGGUGGUUGCAGCCUUCCACAGGCAUUGGACUGAAACACAACAGGAGAGAGCAACCAAGAGCUUCUUUCAGGGUUUUAUCACUGCCAUGAUGGCAAUGGAGCUAGAUCUGUGCUCUGGUGUGGGAAGGAAAUAGAAACAGCAAAUUAAAUCUUGGGAAAAAAUCUUAAGAAAAAAACAAGCAAACAUUUUCUGAGCUUAAAAAUUUAAUCUGAGCUGUUGGCUUGCUGGUGACCUUAACUCUCCCAGCUGUUACCUUACAACAGACCUACUGUGGUUUUGCUGCACACUAGGUGACAGAAGCUUAAAUUUUCAGCUGUUUGUUUCCAAAGUAGAGCAGAUCUGCAGCUUCUUCAUAGUUGAAGAAGCUGACUUCAUAAUUUCUGUGAUCUGUCCACAAUCCCCCAGAUAGGUGCUGAGAUUAUUUUUUCAUGGAUGUUCAUCCUGGGUCUGUGUUGCUAUGGUCAGAACCUGGCUGUGGGUGGUGAAAACUGAUCAUACUACAAGGAACUGAAUUUGGAAUUUGCAGACUGCAAACCUUUGACACCCCAUCUAGCAAGCUAUGUAGGAGAGACUACGUUUUUCCCAUAAUGUGAAGUUAUUUUUAAGAUGGGAUCAACAAUAAAUAGUUGCAUAGAACAAAGAAAAUUGCUAUAGAAAGAAGAGAGAAAGAAGUGCUGCAAUAAUUUUACCAAUCAUUUAUUUCUUGGUUUAGGAAAAGAAAAAAAGUUCAUAUUUUCUUUGGUCAAAUUUAGUAAUACCUUUUAGUAAUAUAUAGAAAAAUAGCCCAUAUUUUUCAAAACGUUUACAAAAUUACAUUGCAAUUAUUAUUUUGAAUGAAAUAGUUUUAUUUCACAUGUUUUCACCAAGAAAAAGGAAAGAAUAGCAAUAAACCAGCAUGAUUUCUAGCCUGCACUGAGCAUUUACCCCAUGCCAGCCUGAGAUGCCUACCCACAAGAUAAAUCCUCCAACAGCUACAAGCUCAUUCAGCUGCAACACGAGCAAGCAGGAGCCUCAGAGCUGCUCUGGGUUAAACUGCAGGGAGGCAUCCCUUUCCAAAAUCUGGAUUCUCUGCCCUGUGGUGGCUCCUGUGAGCUGGGCAGCAGUGGCAGGGGGACAGUGGUACUGGAGCUUUUUCACCUGCAUUCAGUGGCAGAUGAGGGACAGAAGGCACAGACCCAUUUUGUCACUGUCAGCAACUGCAGCUCCUCUCCAUGCAGUCCCUCUCACGUAUCUUGGACAGAUCUCUAACAGCACGAGCUUGUGCCCCAUUAGGCAAGAGUUAAAACCUGCAAUUAAAAAUACUAACAUUUAAUUUCAGAAAGUGGAGGCAGGCCAGAAUAACCCAGAGCAGACAGCAGGGUCAACAGCAGGCAGGGUCUGUAAAUUGACUCUGUCUGGCGUGAGCAAACUUAGAUCCCUUGAACAGGAGUCCUGUGGUAGCCCUGGACCUUCCUUCAGGAUUUCUCUGCCAGUUCAUAUGAUGCUGCUGCUCCAAUCUAGUGCAGGAAGCUGUGACUAAAGCCGUGCCUCUCAAAAAAAUGAGUGGGCAGGUGUCUACUUCUGGUGCUCACACAGACUGAUUGGGCAGUUUGGCUAUUGACACCCAGCUUUUCCAACUGAGAAAAUCUCCAGCUGCACAAUUUUUAUUUAAAAAGGUGCAUUAUGGCAGCCCACAGAUCAGAACGUGUGUCAUGCUGAAGUACAGAAAAUAAGCCAAAUCAAGCUGGUGAAAUGACCCAGAUUGGAGAUAUGAAGGCCUCUAAAUUAAGAGUGCUCUGCUGCAGACCCCCAGGCUAUUAAAGCUCAUGACUGUUUGCUCCACCAUCACAGUUGCUAUGGCAAUUCAUAUAGACAAACCCAGUAACCUGUCAGGAUCCAACCAGGUAAAAAACUAGGACCUAAAUUAUAUUCAGAAAUAAACAGCAAGCUGAUACA